rnacentral:tRNA from 7 species
GCCGAAGUGGUGAAAUUGGUAUACACGCUACCUUGAGGUGGUAGUGGCGAAAGCCGUGUGGGUUCGAGUCCCACCUUCGGCACCA